UGCAGAAGACACAUUCGACUAAAAAUUCUAAAAUUUCAAUAAGCAAAGAAGAUAUUCUAAGUUCUGGCUGUAUUCUGGAGCGUUUCCUCAUGGGCGUCGCAAUUCACACACGUCACGGAUUCCGCCGAAGGAGUCGAUAAUUAAAACUGAACUUUUGGAUCGGAGAUAUGAAGACGCGCGCUGCAUUUUCCUUGGCGGAGAUGCACAGCUCUGACACUAGACAUUAUUAUACACUCGAAGGGAACGCGUUUCGCCGGAAGAAUAAAUAAUUACAAAUGGUAUUCGUCAGUGAACAUUUUCAAACUGGGAAUAAUAUAUCAUAAGCAGAUUGAAAUGUGUGAACGUUUCAGUGUUUUGAAGACUAAGUUUCGUAGCAGAUUUCGAUUCCGUCACGGG